UACGUAGGCAGCAAGCGUUGUUCGGAAUUACUGGGCGUAAAGAGUGUGUAGGCGGUGUUCUAAGUUUGUCGUGAAAUCUCCCGGCUUAACUGGGAGGGUGCGGCGAAAACUGGAAUGCUAGAGGAUGGGAGAGGUAAGCGGAAUUCCUGGUGUAGCGGUGAAAUGCGUAGAUAUUGGGAGGAACACCAGUGGCGAAGCGGCUCACUGGACCGGUUCUGACGCUGAGCGCGAAGCGUGGGAGCAAACGG
rnacentral:rRNA from 1 species